AUUGGGACUGAGAUACGGCCCAGACUCCUACGGGAGGCAGCAGUGGGGAAUAUUGGGCAAUGGGCGAAAGCCUGACCCAGCAACGCCGCGUGAAGGAAGAAGGCUUUCGGGUUGUAAACUUCUUUUAAGAGGGAAGAGCAGAAGACGGUACCUCUUGAAUAAGCCACGGCUAACUACGUGCCAGCAGCCGCGGUAAUACGUAGGUGGCAAGCGUUGUCCGGAUUUACUGGGUGUAAAGGGCGUGCAGCCGGGUGCGCAAGUCAGAUGUGAAAUCUCAGGGCUCAACCCUGAAACUGCAUUUGAAACUGUGCAUCUUGAGUGCCGGAGAGGUAAUCGGAAUUCCUUGUGUAGCGGUGAAAUGCGUAGAUAUAAGGAAGAACACCAGUGGCGAAGGCGGAUUACUGGACGGUAACUGACGGUGAGGCGCGAAAGCGUGGGGAGCGAACAGGAUUAGAUACCCUGGUAGUCCACGCUGUAAACGAUGGAUACUAGGUGUGCGGGGACUGACCCCCUGCGUGCCGCAGUUAACACAAUAAGUAUCCCACCUGGGGAGUACGAUCGCAAGGUUGAAACUCAAAGGAAUUGACGGGGGCCCGCACAAGCGGUGGAUUAUGUGGUUUAAUUCGAAGCAACGCGAAGAACCUUACCAGGUCUUGACAUCCUGCUAACGAAGUAGAGAUACAUUAGGUGCCCUUCGGGGAAAGCAGAGACAGGUGGUGCAUGGUUGUCGUCAGCUCGUGUCGUGAGAUGUUGGGUUAAGUCCCGCAACGAGCGCAACCCCUAUUGUUAGUUGCUACGCAAGAGCACUCUAGCGAGACUGCCGUUGACAAAACGGAGGAAGGUGGGGACGACGUCAAAUCAUCAUGCCCCUUAUGACCUGGGCUACACACGUAAUACAAUGGCGGUCAACAAAGGGAUGCAAAGCCGCGAGGCAGAGCGAACCCCAAAAAGCCGUCCCAGUUCGGAUCGCAGGCUGCAACCCGCCUGCGUGAAGUCGGAAUCGCUAGUAAUCGUGGGUCAGCAUACCACGGUGAAUACGUUCCCGGGCCUUGUACACACCGCCCGUCACACCAUGAGAGUCGGGAACACCCGAAGUCCGUAGCCUAACCGCAAGGAGGGCGCGGCCGAAGGUGGGUUCGAUAAUUGGGGUGAAGUCGUAACAAGGUAGCCGUUCGAGAACGAGCGGC
rnacentral:rRNA from 1 species